rnacentral:rRNA from 1 species
AUUGAACGCUGGCGGCAGGCCUAACACAUGCAAGUCGAACGAGUGGCGGACGGGUGAGUAAUGUCUGGGAAACUGCCUGAUGGAGGGGAAUAACUACUGGAAACGGUAGCUAAUACCGCAUACCAUCGGAUGUGCCCAGAUGGGAUUAGCUAGUAGGUGGGGUAAAGGCUCACCUAGGCGACGAUCCCUAGCGGAUCUGAGAGGAUGACAAGCGACACGGGAACUGGGACACGGUCCAGACUCCUAAGGGAGGUAGCAGUGGGGAAUAUGGCACAAUGGGCGAAAGCAUGAUGCAGCCAGGCCGCGUGUAUGAAGAAGGCCUUCGGGUUGUAAAGUACUUUUAGCGGGGAGGCGGUACCCGCAGAAGAAGCACCGGCUAACUCCGUGCCAGCUGCCGCGGUAAUAC